CCUUGAAUGUGGCAGAAUGGCCAACUCUUCCAAAGUGAAAGUCUACAACCCAACGUGGCAGCAGGAGAAGAAUUUCUCUUCGCUCCUCACCCCAUCCUCCAUUACUACCAAACCUGGAGUUCCAGAGAGAAUGUUGCAGGAAGUCAGGGACCCGGAAAAGAGGGACUGACUGAAGCCAUGGCAGGAGAACAUAAAUUGUGAAGAUUUCAUGGACAUUUAUUAGUUCCCCAAAUUAAAACUUUUAUAAUUUCUUAUGCCUGUCUUUACUGCAAUCUGUGAACAUAAAUUGUGAAGAUUUCAUGGACAUUUAUCACUUCCCUAA
rnacentral:lncRNA from 1 species